CGUGUAGGCGGCUGGGCAAGUCAGAUGUGAAAGCCCUUGGCUCAACCAAGGAAGUGCAUUUGAAACUGUUCAGCUAGAGUGAGGGAGAGGGAAGUGGAAUUCCUGGUGUAGAGGUGAAAUUCGUAGAUAUCAGGAGGAACACCCGUGGCGAAGGCGGCUUUCUGGCCCUUAACUGACGCUGAGACGCGAAAGCGUGGGGAGCAAACAGGAUUAGAUACCCUGGUAGUCC
rnacentral:rRNA from 1 species